GCCGGGAUAGCUCAGACGGUAGAGCGAGGGACUGAAAAUCCCUGCGUCGGUGGUUCGAUUCCGCCUCCCGGCA
rnacentral:tRNA from 1 species